GGAGAGGUGGCCGAGCGGUUGAAGGCGCCCGAUUGGAAAUCGUGUAUACGAGAGAUCGUAUCGAGGGUUCGAAUCCCUUCCUCUCCUCCA
rnacentral:tRNA from 1 species